UUAGUAUGGUUGCCUUCCAA
rnacentral:miRNA from 1 species